rnacentral:rRNA from 1 species
CAGUAGCCGCGGUAAUACGGAGGGUGCAAGCGUUAAUCGGAAUUACUGGGCGUAAAGCGCACGCAGGCGGUCUGACAAAUCAGAUGUGAAAUCCCCGGGCUUAACCUGGGAACUGCAUUUGAAACUGUCAGGCUGGAGUCUUGUAGAGGGGGGUGGAAUUCCAGGUGUAGCGGUGAAAUGCGUAGAGAUCUGGAGGAAUACCGGUGGCGAAGGCGGCCCCCUGGACAAAGACUGACGCUCAGGUGCGAAAGCGUGGGGAGCAAACAGGAUUAGAUACCCCUGUAGUCCCUGUCUCUUAUAC